rnacentral:misc_RNA from 1 species
UGGUUCUGGCAUCGAUGAAGAACGCAGCGAAAUGCGAUAAGUAAUGUGAAUUGCAGAAUUCAGUGAAUCAUCGAAUCUUUGAACGCACAUUGCGCCCUGUGGUAUUCCGCGGGGCAUGCCUGUUCGAGCGUCAUUUUACCAAUCAAGCUCUGCUUGGCAUUGGAGCCCGUACGAGUACGGCUCUCAAAGACAAUAGCAGUCUAAACAAGACCCUAAGCAUAGUAAACUUUCUUGCUUCUGGGCGCUGUAGUGACUUGCUCACACCUAUCUUAAGGUUGACCUCGGAUCAGGUAGGGAUACCCGCUGA